rnacentral:rRNA from 1 species
UGGGGGAUAUUGCACAAUGGGCGAAAGCCUGAUGCAGCGACGCCGCGUGGGGGAUGAAGGCUUUCGGGUUGUAAACCUCUUUCGCUAUCGAACAAGGCCCGCUUAGGGUGGGUUGAGGGAAGGUGGAGAAGAAGCGCCGGCUAACUACGUGCCAGCAGCCGCGGUAAUACGUAGGGCGCGAGCGUUGUCCGGAAUUAUUGGGCGUAAAGGGCUUGUAGGCGGCUUGUUGCGCCUGCUGUGAAAACGCGGGGCUUAACUUCGCGCGUGCAGUGGGUACGGGCAGGCUUGAGUGUGGUAGGGGUGACUGGAAUUCCAGGUGUAGCGGUGGAAUGCGCAGAUAUCUGGAGGAACACCGAUGGCGAAGGCAGGUCACUGGGCCAUUACUGACGCUGAGGAGCGAAAGCAUGGGUAGCGAACAGG